rnacentral:rRNA from 1 species
GCUUAGAGUUUGAUCCUGGCUCAGGAUGAACGCUGGCGGCGUGCCUAAUACAUGCAAGUCGAACGGGAAUCCCUGACUUCGGUUAGGGAGGAGAGUGGCGCACGGGUGAGUAACACGUAGCUGACCUACCCUUCGCAGGGGGAUAACUUGCCGAAAGGCGAGCUAAUACCGCGUAGACUCUCAGGGGUUAGAGGCCUUGAGAGGAAAGCGAUGGCAGCGGCGAAGGCAGGGGCUGCGGCCCAUCAGCUAGUUGGUGAGGUAACGGCUCACCAAGGCGGUGACGGGUAGGGGGCCUGAGAGGGUGACCCCCCACACUGGGACUGAGACACGGCCCAGACUCCUACGGGAGGCAGCAGUAAGGAAUAUUGCCCAAUGGGUGCCAACCUGAGGCAGCAACGCCGCGUGGAGGAGGAAGGGUUUCGGCUCGUAAACUCCUUUUCUGAGGGAAGAGGAAGGACGGUACCUCAGGAAGAAGUCUCGGCUAACUACGUGCCAGCAGCCGCGGUAAAACGUAGGAGGCGAGCGUUAUCCGGAUUUACUGGGCGUAAAGCGCGCGCAGGCGGUGAUGCCAGUCAGGCGUGAAAGCUCCCGGCUCAACUGGGAGAGGACGUCUGAACUGCAUGACUCGAGAGAGGUAGAGGCUUACGGAAUUCCGGGUGGAGUGGUGAAAUGCGUAGAGAUCCGGAGGAAGACCAGUGGCGAAGGCGGUAAGCUGGACCUGCUCUGACGCUCAGGCGCGAAAGCAUGGGGAGCGAACGGGAUUAGAAACCCCGGUAGUCCAUGCCGUAAACGAUGCAGACUAAGUGUCG